UCCAGUUUAUCCUGCUGGCGGAUACGGCUAUCUGACCCAUAAUUAGACAUGCAAGUUUUUUCCUUAAUUGGGAAGGCGAACUGCUCAGUAACACGUAGCUAAUCUACCCUUAGGUCAAGGAUAACCUCGGGAAACUGAGGAUAAUACUUGAUAGAAAAUACUUUCUGGAAUGAGGUAUUUUUAAAACUCGAGCCUAAGGAAGGGGCUGCGGCUGAUUAGGUAGUUGUUGGUGUAAUGGACUAACAAGCCGAUGAUCAGUAGGGGCUCUUAGCGGAGGGGCCCUGAGAAGGAAUCUGAGACACUAUUCCUAGCUCUACGGGGUGCAGCAGUCGAGGAAAUUUUACAAUGCUCGAAAGAGUGAUAGAAUGAGUCAGAGUGUUUCUCCUAGAGAAACUUUUGUCUGCUGUAAAAAGGCAGACGAAUAAGGACUGGGCAAGACCGGUGCCAGCCGCCGCGGUAAUACCGGCGGUCCAAGUCGUAUCCACAUUUAUUGGGUCUAAAACAUUCGUAGCUUGUUUUGCAAGUCUCUUGAGAAAUCUUACAUCUCAAGUGUAAGGCGGGCAAGAGAUACUGCACUACUAGAGACCGGAAGACGUAAGGAGUACGAUUAAGGUAGCGGUAAAAUGUGUUAAUCUUAAUCGGACUAACAAUGGCGAAGGCACCUUACGAGUACGGAUCUGACAGUGAGGGAUGAAGGCUAGGGGCGCAAAAGGGAUUAGAUACCCCUGUAGUCCUAGCAGUAAACACUGCUCACUAAACAUCGGUGCCUCCUCGAGAGGCGUCGGUGCUGAAGGGAAGCCGAAGAGUGAGCUACCUGGGAAGUAUAGUCGCAAGGCCGAAACUUAAAGGAAUUGGCGGGGAGGCACUACAACAGGUGACGCGUGCGGUUUAAUCAGAUGAUACACCGUGGACCUCACCAGGAGCGACAGCAGAAUGAAGGUCAGUCUAAAGGGCUUACCUGACACGCUGAGAGGAGUUGCAUGGCCGACAUAAGCCUGUGUCGUGAGAUGGCUUGUUAAAUCAAGUAACAGGCAGACCCUCGUGUCUAAUUGCUACGAAAGAGCACAUUAGACAGACUGCCUUGGUAACAAGGAGGAGGGUGGGGGCAAUGUCAGGUGAGUACAGCCCGAAUCCCCUGGGCAACACGCGCGCGGCAAUGUCACAUCCAAUGAGAUGCGACUCUGAAAAGAGAAGCUAAUCUCCUAAAAUGUGGCCUAGUUCAGAUUGAGGUUUGUAACCCAACCUCAUAACGAUGGAAUCUGUAGUAAUCGUUUGUUAUCAACAAACGGUGAAUACGUCACGGCCUCUUGCACACACUGCCCGUCAAACCAACCGAGUUAUGCUUUGGCGAGGGCUUUCGAGAACGAACCUCGGUAUGACAAGGUAGGUU
rnacentral:rRNA from 1 species